UGCACUCCAGCAUGGCAACAGAGUGAGACCUCACACACACAAAAAAAAGUAAAUUAAAUAACGUAAAUAAUGUGUCUAAAUUGUCUAGCACAAUAAGUAGAACAAAGUAUGAACAUUUAUCUUAUUAGUAGGUUGAUUUAAAGAACUUCAAAAAUAAAAUGUAAGCUAACAGUUCUCUUAACAAGGGCUUUUGUAAACAAAUAGAAUUGGCUCCCCUUACUAUCUUUAUCCUUGUUUUUAUAAUUUUUUGUAUCUUAUUUAAGUUGGUCUAAAUUAUUCCAACAAUUUAGACAAUGCCAAAAUUUAAUCAAUUGUACCAUGUGAAGUUGGAAAUUAGUCAUUCAAUUUAAUUCACUUCUUCUUUCUCUCAGAGAGAGAAAGAAAGGGAGUGAGGGAGGGAGAGAGGGAGGGAAAAGAGAGAGAUUGAGUCAGAAAGAAAGAGGAAUAGUUCUACUUAUCAAGCACUCUACUAGGUAUUAGACAUACGAUUUCAGAAAUCUAAUUACAAUUGGAGUUGAUGUUUCAGAAAAGAAAGUUUGCCUACUUCUUGUGUAUUUUUUUCAUUGCCACAGCAAGCUUACAAAGGCUUACAAAAAAUAAUAAUUUUAGUAGCAGCAUGCUUGUGUCCUGAUAAGCCCCAAAUAUAUUCUGUGAGCCACAUAGUUUUACUUAAAACAAUCUUUAGAGAGAGGGGAAAAGAGGAAGUUUAUAAUUGAAUUUUCUCUUACAUGUUUAAAAUGUAUUAUUUAGAAAAUAUUCCAUGUAAUAAAAAAAUUGACUUCACCAAAACUCUCCCAAGAUAUUUAAAAAUGUCCCUUUACAAAGGACUAGCAGUAUUGCAUUCAAGCUAAAGGGAAGAAGGCAGUAGGUGGAGGUGGGGGGAGGGCGCCUGCAUAGUGCAGCUGCGACUUUGCUGUUACUGCACCAUCGGCUGCUACUCCACCUUCUGAUACAAACUAGCUAAGACCUUUAUCCAGGUUCAAGGAGAUCGCAACACUUACAUUUUGACAGUGCUCUUCAAGCCAUUCACUCAUCUUCCAAGAACUAUUUUCUGUGCACACUUUUUGCCAAGCACUUCUCUAGAGCACAGUAGUUAAUAUGUGAGACGAAAAUUUAGGAACUUCGUAUUUGGAGAGAGACAGGGUAAUUACACACAAUAAGCAAGAUGAAUAAGUAAAUUCUAUGUUAUUAGUUAAGAAUUCAAAGCCAAAAAAAUGAGAGGCGGAAGUUGGAGUGUGUAGGCCAGGUUAUGUUGCAGUAUUAGAUAGACUACACAAGCAAAACUGAAGGGUGACUUACGAGUACAGAUGGAAAAUCAGCAAGUGGGCAAGUAACAGAGGUUUCCGGGGGGGAGCAUUUCAGGUACAACAGCCCUAGCAAAUAUCAUGACUUGGGAGUUCCGGAGCAUGGAGGCCAGUGUGGUUGGAGUCUAGUGAGACAAAAAUUGGAAGGAAGAUCAAGAAGGAAUGGGUGGGUGGGGAGAUCAUCUAGGACUUGGCAUGACUUGUCUUGUCUUGUGCCCUGACAUGACAUGACUCAGAUUGUCUCAGCUUGGAUUGAUUGACAUGCCUUGACUUGACUUAUCCUAGCUUGACUUGAAUUUACUUGACAUAAUUUUCCAUUGAAGAGUCUUAUAAAGGUUUAGCUUUUACUCUGAGUGAGAUGAGAGUUUUAGGGUUUUGAACAGAAGAGUGACUUGACCUUAAUGUGAAUUAAAUAGACUCCCUGUGGCUGCCUUGUGAGAAAAAUAGGAGAGGUUUAUACUGGAAUGUUAGCAAUAGAGGCGAUAGGAGGUGAUAUUCUGGAUAUACAAAUUUU